GCCAAUCACCAGCAACAGAAACAGGCUUUAGUUCCUCUUUCAAGCAUGACUGACCACCAUUCUCAGGCAGCUUCUAGGCUCCUCGUCCAAUAUGAAUGAUACUCCCGCUUCUAAGACUCUCCCGGCAUUUGCUGGGCAGGGACGGCGCACCAGCAUGAGACAGCCUCUUGGCCAAUAUGAAUUCCCAGGCAGCCUAGGUUAUCAAUUAUUUGACAGAUUGGAGGCUGAAAAGCCAAGGCAUCUUCUCCACCAAGUAUUCGAUACGAAUAUUAAGUGGCGGCGUUAUGAUUCCUCUCUGGGCGACCAGCCCACAAAUCAGUUGCAAG
rnacentral:sRNA from 2 species